GAUGAACGCUGGCGGCGUGCUUAAUACAUGCAAGUCGAACGGGAGAGUCUUCUAGCUUGCUAGGAGGCGAUCUAGUGGCGAACGGGUGAGUAAUACGUAGGCAACCUGCCCCAAAGCGGGGGAUAGCAGUUGGAAACGACUAUUAAUACCGCAUAGGUGGAGGGAAGGCAUCUUCCUUCCAUUAAAGGUGCGUUUGCACCGCUGUGGGAUGGGCUUACGCUGUAUUAGCUUGUUGGUGAGGUAACGGCCCACCAAGGCGAUGAUACAUAGCCGGUCUGAGAGGAUGAACGGCCACAUUGGGACUGAGACACGGCCCAGACUCC
rnacentral:rRNA from 1 species